UUUAGGAUACUUCCCUAUGGUAAAUGGAUACGACUAGAUAUCACCAGUCUUAUCAUUAAACAGGAACAAAAAUCAUUUCUAACAUAACUACUCAUGACCUGGAACAUGGAAAUGUAGUCUUCUUAAAGGAACCUCAUAAAAAAAUCCACCCUUACCCUUCUACGGAAAGGACCUUACCAGUUGGAAGGAAACAAGAGCAUCAUCAAAUGCAAAAACAAAAACAAAACAAAAUGAACAAAUAAGCCUCUAAGGCAGCAGAUGAAGCUCAUCAUAAACAGUUGCAGAAGUAAACUUGAAUUGCCGCCAAGGAGUAGAUUAAAGUCUAUCUCCACCAGACCAAGAUGUGUGCUUUAAGGCUGCUUGAUUUCAGACCUAACAACUAUAGAAGGAGGAAAAGGUCAAUGUUUGGAGUGAAUUCUGGACUAACUGGGUGGAUAUAGCCUUAUCAUGAAUCACUUUAGAAGAUUGCUAUCAACAUCAUUCCAAAAAGGUGGGAAUGUGGAUUUUCCAUCAUGGGACAAUUUUCAUCGGAUUUCUGCUCUACUGGUGUCAUUAUGUGUCCUUCCCCCAAAGUAUCAAAUACUUCCAAACCUUACUUUCAUUGUAUAUGAUUUUGUAACGACACAUUUUCCUAAAAUGUUUUCCUAAGUAAUCUAUUUUCUAAGUAAAUGGCACAAAAUGAA